rnacentral:rRNA from 1 species
AACGAACGCUGGCGGCAGGCCUAACACAUGCAAGUCGAACGCCGUAGCAAUACGGAGUGGCAGACGGGUGAGUAACACGUGGGAACGUACCCUUCGGUUCGGGAUAACUCAGGGAAACGUUGAGCUAAUACCGGAUACGUCCGAGAGGAGAAAGAUUUAUCGCCGAGGGAUCGCCCGCGUCUGAUUAGCUUGUUGGUGAGGUAACGGCUCACCAAGGCGACGAUCAGUAGCUGGUCNGAGAGGAUGAUCAGCC